rnacentral:rRNA from 1 species
UACGUAGGGGGCUAGCGUUGUCCGGAAUCAUUGGGCGUAAAGCGCGUGUAGGCGGUCCGGUAAGUCCGCUGUGAAAGUCAAGGGCUCAACCCUUGAAUGCCGGCCGAUACUGCCGGGCUAGAGUCCGGAAGAGGUGAGUGGAAUUCCUGGUGUAGCGGUGAAAUGCGUAGAUAUAGGAAGGAACACCAGUGGCGAAGGCGACCACCUGGACUGAUACUGACACUGAGGUGCGAAAGCGUGGGGAGCAAACAGG